UCAAACUUGGUCAUUUAGAGGAAGUAAAAGUCGUAACAAGGUUUCCGUAGGUGAACCUGCGGAAGGAUCAUUAACGUAUCUCCGAGUCCGAGUCCGGCGGCUACCGAGGCGACGCUCCGGCACUCAGCCGUUGCAGCGGGCGCUGGCGCCCCGGCUCGAAACCACAGACCCCACCGUGCUCCUUUGCGGCCGAAGGGAGAUGCCUGGCCGAACUGCCGCAUCUCCCGGAAGCAACGCUCACACACACCAGUUCAAACGAAUGCAAAGCGGACUCUGUUCCGCCCACAAAUUGAAACAACUUUCAACAACGGAUCUCUUGGCUCUCGCAUCGAUGAAGAACGCAGC
rnacentral:misc_RNA from 1 species